GCAGGGAGGGCGCGAGCCCGGAGUAGGCUAUGUGGGAUGGAGGGAGGGAAGUAGGACGUUUGCAAAAACUUAAACUUCGGUGCCUGGAGAGAUGUUUUUAAAGUGAAUGUCUUCAGCUCUUCUCUCAGCAGCUGAGAAGAGGGGACAAUGGACUGAGGACAGAGGAGGUGGACAUAGUGAAAGAAGAGGGGCCUGCCGUGCCGGACUGUCUUGAAAUAGCUGACGAAUAAAUACAUCCUUGGUAUAUAAGGAAAUAAAACUAAAAAACACCUUUUGUGGAAAUAUCAAAAGAUAAAUUGGAGUGGAAAUACCAGUUAGGAAAUUCUGACACUACUCUAAACUACAGUGACUGGGAAGGAGCAUAUUGGAAUACAGUUGGUGGGGCCAAAGAUGCUAGACAUCUUGCAUUGCCUGAGAAAAUCCUGCACAAAGAAUCUGGGUGUCUCAACUGCCUCACUGCUCACUGAUCAAACAUUUCUCUUGUUCCACAUCCGGCAUAGGUGAUAAGAGAGUGCACCUCCACCUGUGGGGACUCAGUGGACAGAAGCACAGCUGUCUGUAGCUGCACUGCCCAGAGCCUGUGAGAUCACCCAGAAGGGAAGGAGGAACAUUCAGAAGGACAUGUCUUAACUGCAUUUGACUGGUGGCUACACUUGUCACCCUACUCAAGAAGAUACAAAAAUGUAAUUUACAAAGGAAAAUGUUGAAGAAAUUUGCAUACAGUAAAAUGAGAAACUUUGGUUCCUCAGAACAUAUCACACACUAGUAGAAUGUAUUUGUAGCAAACUUAACUGAUACAAUAUAAAUUACCAAAACAAGCCAUCGACCAAUUAGAAAAACAGACAUGACACAGAAAAGGAAUCCUAUACAGUUAGUAAACACAUUAGGAUGAUCCAUGUCAAUAUUUGGAAAAUAAAAAUUCAAACCCUCAGAUAUUGUUUUCACUCACUUGAUCGGAAGAAUUUUAGAAGUCUGGGCAGAGUGUGUUGGUGAAAUGUGAGGCAAUGAGAACUUUUAUUUUGUUCACGUGAAUGUAAAUUGAUGUGAUUCCUUUGGAAAACUGGCAUUAUCAAGUAAAGGAAAAGAUGCAUUUACCCUAUUGUUCAGUAAUUCCACACCUGUGGAAGUCAAAAUCUUUCCAAAGAUGCUUCUACCUUAAUCUUCAGAAUAUGUUAGGUUAUAUAGCAGAGGCAAAUUAAAGGUGCAAUUGGAUUAAGAUAGUUCAUCAGUUGAUUAAAAAUAAGAAAACUUGGGUAGUAUUCAUAUAUUACAAUAAACCAGUCUGUCAUGGUGGGGAUUUUGGCACCUGUAAUAGUUAAUGGAACACAUCUUCAACAUGAAUGUGUACCUUACAGCAAGAAUUGA